rnacentral:rRNA from 1 species
AUUGAACGCUGGCGGCAGGCCUAACACAUGCAAGUCGAGCGGAUGAGUGGAGCUUGCUCCAUGAUUCAGCGGCGGACGGGUGAGUAAUGCCUAGGAAUCUGCCUGGUAGUGGGGGACAACGUUUCGAAAGGAACGCUAAUACCGCAUACGUCCUACGGGAGAAAGCAGGGGACCUUCGGGCCUUGCGCUAUCAGAUGAGCCUAGGUCGGAUUAGCUAGUUGGUGAGGUAAUGGCUCACCAAGGCGACGAUCCGUAACUGGUCUGAGAGGAUGAUCAGUCACACUGGAACUGAGACACGGUCCAGACUCCUACGGGAGGCAGCAGUGGGGAAUAUUGGACAAUGGGCGAAAGCCUGAUCCAGCCAUGCCGCGUGUGUGAAGAAGGUCUUCGGAUUGUAAAGCACUUUAAGUUGGGAGGAAGGGUUGUAGAUUAAUACUCUGCAAUUUUGACGUUACCGACAGAAUAAGCACCGGCUAACUCUGUG